rnacentral:lncRNA from 1 species
AUUGGUGUGUAGAAUGUCUAAAUGGUGUUAGACAUAGCAAAGGAUUGCUGCAACGUUCAUGAGUGCUUAUGAACUAGUUUUGAGCAUUGGAAUAAACCCGCGCUUGCUGGAAUCACCUUAUGGAAUACGAUAUAAAAGGUGAUCGCAAGACGAUAAUAUCAUAUAGUCUUAAAACCUAGAUAUAUGGUUUAUUAUUUGUUAAUUGAUUGUACAUUGAUAAUACGAAAACGCAUCAGUAACUUGGUGUUAUAAAACGUAUUGUUGUGUAUAGUUGGUUAAUGAAUAAGUAAAUGCAUAUAAGUCGAAGUUUAUCUGUAACUUUUAUCUAAGAAGGUAAAAGCGAUAUCUCGGCCGCUCGAUGAUUUGAUUUGACUUAUGUGCCGGGCCCGGUCAGAACUGAAUUGAUGUGUUCGAUUAAGUUCUAUGUCAAAUAAAUCAGAGAUCGAGAAACCUAAAUGCUUGACUAACCAUUCCAUAGGAUUGUCAGCAUGAUAUCUAACAGAGGACUGUACGUUCCCUUAUCUAAAGGACAAGAUUGAUUAGAUCAGAGUUGACAGCGUCUUUGAGAGCUACGAUUGCAAACCGAAUUGUACUUGUAUAGUUACUAGACUUAUCCAAGUGGGAGACUGUUGGAAUAGUGUCUAAGGCUGUAACUAUAUCCGGUUGUGCAUGGUCCUUUUGGGUUGCCUUCACCAUAGCAACUUGAUAGGAUGAUUUAUUAAGAGAGAGUAAAUAUUAUUAAUAUAUUAUGGGAAUAAUAUAAUGAAUAAUAUAUUUGUUAUUUGAUUAAUAUAAGUCAUAGAAUUAAUUAGAAUUAAUUUGGUGACUUAAAGAGAUUAAUUAAAUAAAGGGGUAUAAACUGUCAAUUGUUUGAUAGUUAAGCUUUAAACUGUAAAUCCAUUUGGAUAUACUAUGGACGAAUUCUAAGAGGAUUAGGAUAGCUAAAAUCGUCCAUUAGAGUUAUCUAGGAAUGGAUUUGGAUAGCCUUAAGAGAAGAUUAUCUGAUAGGGACUUAUCUGUAAUCCUUAAGGAGUCUACAAGUAUAAAUAGACCCCAUGGCUGAUGGAAUUCGACACUUGACCUAAAGUAAGGAACCUCUGGUCGAAAUUCCUCCCCUCUCCUCUCUCCCAAAUCAUCCUCCUUGCUUUGGUGUUUGUAAGCCAUUAGAGGAGUGACAUUUGUGACUCUAGAAGCUCCAAGACCUCAAGAUCAACAAGGAACUCAAAGGUAUGAUUCUAGAUCUGUUUUAAUGUUCUUGUUUAACCUAAUUAGUAAUUAGAAGUCUUGGAUUCAAAGCAUGUUUAUUAGAAAGCCUAGAUCCAAGCAUUAGGGUUUUGCAUGCGCACAUAGGAAAGUUCUUAUGGCUAAAACCCAUCAGUGGUAUCAGAGCCUAGCUUGGUUUUCUGUAAAUUGUUGCUUGAUUAACUGAAACAAACCUGCAAAAUUCGAAUUUUUGGUUUCUGAGUCAUGGACUCGGCGAGUCUCAAAGUGGACUCGGCGAGUAGGCCUGACUCGGCGAGUCCAUUUGUGCACUCGGCGAGUCCAGGCGUCAGGAAUGGCCAGAUUCGGGAUUUCUUUGUGUUUAUCUUAUCUUAACUUACCAUAAACUAAUUAGAUCAACAUUAAUUCGUUUUUCUGAUAAAUAUAACUAUUAUCUUGAUCUAGUUAAAGGUAAUUAUCAACUAAUUAAAUAUUUAAUUUCCUUAUAUGAUAAUUAAUUAAUUAUUUUGAUUAUUUUGGUAAUUAUCUUUAAAAGAAAUCUUGAAUAAAUCAAAUAUAGAUAAUUAGGAUAUUAAUUGUUAAUUGGAAUUAUUUGUUAUUUGAUCCUCCAUGUUUUAAAUGUUUAAAACCUACCCUCAUGUUUUGAAAUUUACUUUUGUGAUUAAAAGUUUUAAUUUAGACAACUUAAAUUUCAAACCCUAGAUUUUAAAAGUUUUAAAAUACAACCCUAUACUAAUAUGAUAUUACUAGAAUAAUAUAUAUAUGUAUAACUAAAUGCUAGUCUUACCGUUAGUAGGCCUCAUUCACGAAGCCGAUCUAUAAGGUGGGUAUAAGGUUGCGGCCUAUAAAAUGGCGCUUAAUGGGUGUACACUCACACCCACCGCUUGCUUGAUUGGUGGAGGGUCGUUAGCCGAACGGGUAGGAUAGGGCAACCUCAUCCUCUCAUUAAAAGUAUAAUAAGAAAUAUAAAGUAACUACACAUUUUUUUAAAAUUUCCCAAUCCUAGUUACUUUAGGAAAAGUGAAUUGAUGCAAUCCCAUGAAAUUACACUUUGCACCUUGCUAAGAUGUUAGUGGAGCGUGUGUGGUUUACCGGCACACUAAUUGGUUCUAAGCGAAGGUGGCAAAGGGUGAUUCAUUGUUUAUCAUAGUUCGAUGGAGCGUGUGUGGUUUACCGGCACAUCGAAUAGGUGAUUGUUACAAUGAAGGCACCAUGUGAAUUUGCAUGGUAAUUCACACCCGCUUUGUGAUCCUCGGCAUCCCAGUCACAAACAAGAGGGGCAUAUCGAGAUUUAAACAUGCCAUUGAAUAGUUUCAAUGAAUCUCAUCCGAACCUAGGAAUUCUCAAAAACACUUAGGACUAAUAGUUUAAGUUUUGUGAUGGAGAAUUAGUGAAUCGUCAUUCACUUACCUUCAAUUUAUUUGCAUGUUAGAUUACGGCAUCCCUUUUCUAGUAUGUAAAUGUUAUUGUUGGAUCCUAGCCCUAAUUUUCUUAUUGGGUGAUAAUUAGGGAUUCUUAUUCUAAUCUAUCUUUGUCCUUUUCUAAUUGUAGAUGUCGAACGCAAACAACGCUGCUGCUAGUUCUUUCACGUUGAUGAGCCUUUGCCAAAAGGUCACCUUCGAUGGAACGAACUUUAGCGAAUGGAUAAGAUACAUUCGCACCAUUGCUCGCUAUGAGGAUAAGGAGUAUGUCCUCGAUGAGAAGCUCGAGAAAAUCAACCCCGAAAUUGCUACUCCCGCCGAAAUCACCGCCUUUGAAACUCAUGAGCGAGAUGCAACGAAGGUACAUUGCAUCAUGAUCGCCACCAUGAACUCCGAAUUCCAAAAGUCCUACGAGGACAUGUACCCGUACGAGAUGCAUCAAGACUUAUUGGAGAGGUACCACCAAAACGCGAGACAAGAGAGGUACGAGAUUUUCACUAACAUGAUUUCCGCGAAGAUGGGUCAUGGAGAAUCUCUUACCGUGCACUUGCAAAAGAUGCAAAGGUAUGUUGACCGCCUCCGCAAGUUAAAUGUUGACUUCGGUGAAGACUUGGCGAUCGACAUGGUGCUUCACUCUUUGCCUCCGAUGUACAACCAAUUUAGGAUGACCUACCACAUGAACAAAGAAGAGGUCACCCUAAGCAAGCUCCAAGGUCUCUUGAGGGUUGCUGAGAGCAACUUCAAGGACAAGUCUGUUGCACCUACUCCCAAUCCGCCCGCUGCUCCUGUCUUGGCUAUUGGACAAGGGAAGGGAAAGAAGAGGAAAGCUUCAUCGAAGAACUAUCGCAAGGUGAAAGCCCGAGAUGGUGCCUCUUCUAGUGGGACCAAAGUUGAUCCCGCCAAGCCCUGCUCUAACCCGAAGGAGGCAGAGUGCCACCACUGCCACAAGAUAGGACAUUGGAAGAGAAGCUGCCCGGAUUACCUGCAAGCAAUCAAAGAAGGAAAGAUCAAGCCAUCUUUCGCAGGUAUAUAUACAAUCAAAUCUAACGAUUCUAAUCAUGCUAUUUCUUGGGUUCUUGAUACCGGUUGUGGUUAUCACAUUUGUUCUAAUGUGCAGGGACUAAGAAGAAGUAGGGAUGUGGAGCAAGGAAGGAUCAAUCUAAUCAUGGGGAACAGAAGAUCGUCGCCUGUGACCAAGAUUGGAGUGUAUUCUUUAGUGCUUAGGAAUAGUUUGGUUUUAGAUUUGAACAAUUGUUGCUAUUCGCCAGAAAUGGCUAGAAACAUCAUUUCAUUUCAUGGUUUAUAUAGACAAGGAUUUAGAUUUUCUUUUAAUAAUGAGAAUGGUUCUAUUUUGGCUUAUCUAAAUGGUGUCUUUUACUUUGAAGCUAUACCAUGUAAUGGAAUAUAUGAAACCGUUAUGAUUGUUGAUAACUUAGGAAAUGAUGUUUUGAAUAUUGAUUCUUCCACUAGUAUGGAUAAAGCAUCCUUGUGGCAUUGUCGUCUUGGACAUGUCAACAAGAAACGCAUAGCCCAACUCCAAAAGGAUGGAGUGUUGGAGUCAUUCGACCUUAGGGAAGAUGACACAUGCGAGUCUUGUUUGCUUGGAAAGAUGACUAAGUCACCCUUCACGAGUACAUGUGAAAGGGGCGAGGGUCUAUUGGACCUAAUACAUACCGAUGUAUGUGGACCGUUUAGAUCAACCACGAAGGAUGGGAACCGCUUCUAUGUGACUUUUACCGAUGACUAUAGUAGAUAUGGGUAUAUCUACUUAAUCAAGCAAAAGUCAGAAACCUUUGAAAAGUUCAAAGAGUUCAAGAAUGAAGUGGAGAAUCAAUUGGGCAGGAAAAUCAAGAUGCUUCGAUCCGAUCGAGGAGGAGAGUACCUAAGUCUUGAAUUCCACGAUUAUCUCAAGGAGUGUGGAAUAGUUUCGCAAUUGACGCCUCCUAGGACACCGCAGUUGAAUGGUGUGGCAGAAAGGCGUAAUCGAACCUUAUUGGAUAUGGUUCGCUCUAUGAUGAGUCGUGCUUCACUACCUAUCUCUUUUUGGGGGUAUGCCUUAGAGACUGCCGCCCAUAUCCUUAACCGAGUCCCUACUAAGAAGGUUGCCAAAACACCUCACGAGAUGUGGACAGGGAAAGCUCCCUCGUUGGCACAUAUCAAGGUUUGGGGUUGCGAGGCUUUCGUAAGACGAGAUACUCACGACAAGCUUGAACCUCGAAGUGAGCGAUGUAUUUUCAUCGGCUACCCGCAGACAUCCUUUGGAUAUCUCUUCUAUAGACCGAAGGACAAUGUUGUCUUCGUUGCGAGGAGAGGAGUUUUCCGAGAGCGAGAACUCAUAAGCCAAGGAGACAGUGGGAGGCAAAUCGAACUUGAAGAGAUUCAAGAGUCGAUAGAUGAAGGAACCUCUACCGCUGGCAUUCAACCCGAGGAGGAAACUCCGGUUGAACCGAUUGACGAAUCCUUACCUCUUAGACGUUCCGAUAGAGUUAGAGUUCAACCCCAGUUUUAUGGUUUUCAUAUUACUACCGAAGGGGACACGUAUAUUAGUGAUGGUACACUAAUAAAUCUUGAUGAACCUAAUAGCUAUAAGGAAGCCAUGGCAGGCCCGGAGUCUGCAAAAUGGAAAGAGGCAAUGGAUAGCGAGAUCCAAUCCAUGUAUGAUAACCAAGUUUGGAAUUUGGUUGAUUAUGUGCCCGGACGUAAGACCGUUGGGUGCAAAUGGAUCUUCAAGAAGAAGACCGACGUGGAUGGAAACGUACACACAUAUAAAGCGCGAUUGGUUGCGAAGGGCUUUACUCAAACUCCCGGAGUUGACUAUGAUGAGACCUUCUCACCAGUUGCGAAGAUUAAAUCUAUUAGAGUGAUGCUAGCAAUUGCCGCAUUUCAUGAUUAUGAGAUUUGGCAAAUGGAUGUCAAGACCGCUUUCCUUAACGGAAAGUUGGCUGAGGAUGUUUACAUGGCUCAGCCAGAGGGGUUUGUGGAUCCGAAGCAUCCGAAUAGAGUGUGUAAGCUUGAGAAGUCCAUUUAUGGACUUAAGCAAGCGUCUCGCAGAUGGAAUCUUUGCUUCGAUGAGAAAGUCAAAGAGUUUGGAUUUGUACGAAGCGAAGACGAAUCUUGUGUAUAUGUCAAAGCCAGUGGGAGUAUAGUAAGCUUCCUCGUUCUAUAUGUCGAUGACAUAUUACUCAUAGGAAACGACAUCCCGACUCUGCAGGAGGUUAAGUCCUGGCUCGGGAAGUGCUUCGCUAUGAAGGACCUCGGAGAGGCUUCUUACAUUUUGGGAAUAAGGAUAGUAAGAGAAAGAAGUAAGAGACUAAUAGGACUUAGUCAGAACACUUACUUAGAGAAGGUACUAAAACGUUUUAGUAUGGAAAACUCGAAGAAGGGAGAAUUACCAAUACAAAGUAAUGCCAAGUUGAGUAAGACUCAAAGUCCGAGUACCGAAGCUGAGAUAGCAGAAAUGAGCCGAGUACCAUACGCUUCCGCAGUUGGCUCAAUCAUGUACGCUAUGACUUGUACUCGCCCUGAUGUAGCCUUCGCUUUGAGCAUGGUUAGCAGAUAUCAAGGGAAUCCUGGCAGAGCACAUUGGAUUGCGGUGAAGAACAUCCUUAAGUACCUUCGGAGGACGAAGGAAUGGUUCUUAAUCCUCGAAGGGAGUGAUGACUUGAAGGUGCGAGGGUAUAGUGAUGCCAGUUUUCAGACCGACAGGGACAACUACCGUUCGCAGUCGGGCUGGGUCUUUACCCUAAAUGGAGGAGCAGUGACAUGGAAGAGUUCCAAGUAGGACACCGUAGCUGAUUCAACGUGCGAAUCAGAGAACAUCGCAGCGAGCGAAGCGUCGAAGGAGGCAAUAUGGCUAAAGAACUUCAUCGGUGAUCUUGGAGUUGUACCUACCAUAAAUGAGCCCAUGGAGAUUUUAUGUGAUAACGAAGGAGCAGUUGCCUUGACCAAGGAACCAAUGGAUCAUGGUAUAUCAAGACAUAUCGACAGAAAAUAUCACUUCAUCAGACAUCGUGUAGAAGAAGGACAACUCGUAGUGAAGAGGAUAUCAUCAGAAGAUAACCCAGCAGAUCCGCUUACGAAGGGACUGAGUAGGGUUAAGCACUUGCAGCAUGCUAGGAGUAUUGGGCUGAAGGAUGAUAUUAGCAUAGAUUAGAUAGUAUUAGAAACGUGUAAUAGAUAAAUGUAAUUAACAUUUGAUGAUUAAAUAAAGGAGUUUUAUUUAUGAGUAAUGUUACUAUCUUAUGUUAAUUGUUUAACUAUUGUUUCACUUUGCAUGUUUUGACUUCCAGAAUAAUUGAGUUUAUUAGGAAUAAUCGAAUUGUUCAAAUUGUCCACAAUCGUUCAUAUGUUGGAAGUAGAUAUGAAUGACGAUUGUCAUGAAUUAGUAUGUAGAUUGUCUGAAUAGUGUUAGACAUAGCAAAGGAUUGCUGCAACGUUCAUGAGUGCUUAUGAACUAGUUUUGAGCAUUGGAACAAACUCGCGCUUGCUGGAAUCACCUUAUGGAAUACGAUAUAAAAGGUGAUCGCAAGACGAUAAUAUCAUAUAGUCUUAAAACCUAGAUAUAUGGUUUAUUAUUUGUUAAUUGAUUGUACAUUGAUAAUGCGAAAACGCAUCAGUAACUUGGUGUUAUAAAACGUAUUGUUGUGUAUAGUUGGUUAAUGAAUAAGUAAAUGCAUAUAAGUCGAAGUUUAUCUGUAACUUUUAUCUAAGAAGGUAAAAGCGAUAUCUCGGCCGCUCGAUGAUUUGAUUUGACUUAUGUGCCGGGCCCGGUCAGAACUGAAUUGAUGUGUUCGAUUAAGUUCUAUGUCAAAUAAAUCAGAGAUCGAGAAACCUAAAUGCUUGACUAACCAUUCCAUAGGAUUGUCAGCAUGAUAUCUAACAGAGGACUGUACAAUCCAUUAUCUAAAGGAGAAGAUUGAUUAGAUUAGAGUUGACAGCGUCUUUGAGAGCUACGAUUGCAAACCGAAUU